UGAUGCACUCAAGUCACAGUCUGCAAUAGGUAGUGCUUGUAUGUGGUAUACCAGUUGCUAAUGUCCCUGGUUUUGUCUAUGCUAUAGACAAACCCAGUGGAUUAAAGAACUGAUUUGAGCCACUCACUCAUAAAACUUCAGACUGUGACUUGUACUCAAUCUUGGCUGUGAUAGAAGCCAAGAAACAACACCAAUUAAAGUAUACUAGCCAGCACUACAUGACGUGAAGAUGUUGAAUAUGAUGAGCAUGGCCCACCAAGAGAGGUGUGUGCAUUGUUGAUGCACUCAAGUCACAGUCUGCAAUAGGGAGUGCUUGUACGUGGUAUACCAGUUGCUAAUGUCCCUGGUUUUGUCUAUGCUAUAGACAAUCCCAGUGGAUUAAAAAGAACUGAUUUGAGCCACUCACUCAUAAAACUUCAGACUGUGACUUGUACUCAAUCUUGGCUGUGAUAGAAGCCAAGAAACAACACCAAUUGAAGUAUACUUGACAGCACUACAGGACGUGAAGAUAUUGAAUAUGAUGAGCAUGGCCCACCAAGAGAGGUGUGUGCAUUGUUGAUGCACUCAAGUCACAGUCUGCAAUAGGGAGUGCUUGUACGUGGUAUACCAGUUGCUAAUGUCCCUGGUUUUGUCUCUGCUAUAGACAAACCCAGUGGAUUAAAAAGAACUGAUUUGAGCCACUCACUCAUAAAACUUCAGACUGUGACUUGUACUCAAUCUUGGCUG